GUCUACGACCAUGCCACCCUGAACACGCCCACCCGAUCUCGGCUGAUCUCGGAAGCUAAGCAGGGUUGGGCCUGGUUAGUAUUUGGAUGGGAGAGAUUUAGGUACUAUAAGAAAAUCUCGGUGGAAACA
rnacentral:rRNA from 1 species